GAUGAACGCUGGCGGCGUGCCUAAUACAUGCAAGUCGAGCGAACGGACGAGAAGCUUGCUUUUCUGAUGUUAGCGGCGGACGGGUGAGUAACACGUGGAUAACCUACCUAUAAGACUGGGAUAACUUCGGGAAACCGGAGCUAAUACCGGAUAAUAUUUUGAUCCGCAUGGUUCAAAAGUGAAAGACGGUCUUGCUGUCACUUAUAGAUGGAUCCGCGCUGCAUUAGCUAGUUGGUAAGGUAACGGCUUACCAAGGCAACGAUGCAUAGCCGACCUGAGAGGGUGAUCGGCCACACUGGAACUGAGACACGGUCCAGACUCCUACGGGAGGCAGCAGUAGGGAAUCUUCCGCAAUGGGCGAAAGCCUGACGGAGCAACGCCGCGUGAGUGAUGAAGGUCUUCGGAUCGUAAAACUCUGUUAUUAGGGAAGAACAUAUGUGUAAGUAACUGUGCACAUCUUGACGGUACCUAAUCAGAAAGCCACGGCUAACUACGUG
rnacentral:rRNA from 1 species